GACGAACGCUGGCGGCGUGCUUAACACAUGCAAGUCGAACGGAAAGACCCUGCUUUUGUGGGGUGCUCGAGUGGCGAACGGGUGAGUAACACGUGAGUAACCUGCCCUUGACUUUGGGAUAACUUCAGGAAACUGGGGCUAAUACCGGAUAGGAGCUCCUGCUGCAUGGUGGGGGUUGGAAAGUUUCGGCGGUUGGGGAUGGACUCGCGGCUUAUCAGCUUGUUGGUGGGGUAGUGGCUUACCAAGGCUUUGACGGGUAGCCGGCCUGAGAGGGUGACCGGCCACAUUGGGACUGAGAUAGGGCCCAGACUCGUACGGGAGGCAGCAGUGGGGAAUAUUGCACAAUGGGCGGAAGCCUGAUGCAGCAACGCCGCGUGCGGGAUGACGGCCUUCGGGUUGUAAACCGCUUUCGCCUGUGACGAAGCGUGAGUGACGGUAAUGGGUAAAGAAGCACCGGCUAACUACGUG
rnacentral:rRNA from 1 species